rnacentral:rRNA from 1 species
AUUGAACGCUGGCGGAAUGCUUUACACAUGCAAGUCGAACGGCAGCACGGACUUCGGUCUGGUGGCGAGUGGCGAACGGGUGAGUAAUGUAUCGGAACGUGCCCAGUCGUGGGGGAUAACGUAGUGAAAAUUACGCUAAUACCGCAUACGAUCUAUGGAUGAAAGCGGGGGAUCGCAAGACCUCGCGCGAUUGGAGCGGCCGAUAUCAGAUUAGGUAGUUGGUGGGGUAAAGGCCCACCAAGCCAACGAUCUGUAGCUGGUCUGAGAGGACGACCAGCCACACUGGAACUGAGAACCGGUCCAGACUCCUACGGGAGGCAGCAGUGGGGAAUUUUGGACAAUGGGCGAAAGCCUGAUCCAGCCAUUCCGCGUGCAGGAUGAAGGCCCUCGGGUUGUAAACUGCUUUUGUACAGAACGAAAAGGUUUCUACUAAUACUAGGAGCUCAUGACGGUACUGUAAGAAUAAGCACCGGCUAACUACGUGCCAGCAGCCGCCGUAA